GAUAAUUUUAGGGUUUACUCACUUUUGCGUAAUUGAUCAUCUCAACUGUCAAACAGUUUGAAAAUUUUCCGUGAAAAAUAUUCGCGUGUUUUUGAAAAAAGUUUUAAAAGCCGAAAAACUUGUGUUUCUAAUUCUAACGACUUGGACAUGUUACGGAUGUAAGUACGACACUUAUCGGAGCAUGUGGGCGGAUUUGGCGGUGGUGAUCCCGCUGUAUGUGGCCCGCAAGGAUUCUUACUAAUCUGGUAGAUCCACAUCACGAUCGAUCCGGAGGUGCUGUUCCGUUAGAUUGUCGGCGACGGAGGAUUCAAGGCUGGUUGCGUGAUUUCUCCGAUUAGCGGUAUUGCAUUGAUGACGCCCAGGAAGCAAUGAUGAACUAAAACUUUGUCUCUAGCUUUGUCUUGCAGUAUCAAAAAUUGUAUAUUAAUAUACAUAUACGAUCCUCGAUACGAUCAAGUGGUGGAUAUAUGCCCCAAAUGAACGGACACGGAAUGAAAUAUAUUAGCCGUGCCAGGAGAACGUCUUCAAAUGGUAGACGGUUCAGCGAAAGCAAGUAAUCAUCCCAUUAUUGCCGGCCGGUGUUGAGGAAGAGCAGACGGUGUAAAUGAUCGUGGGAAAAGGAGCUGUUCAUUACAUCCAAACAAUACCUAGUCGCUUCUUCUGCCACGACGGUGCCGAUGUGCAUACCGAUGGACACAUAUCCCUGACAAAGGUUUUAAGCGUAUCAACAGUUAUGGCAGCAACCAUUGCGUUCAAGUGAAAAUCCAGAUCCUGACCAAGCUAUAUAAUAAGCAAAAAGCGAUUAGAUACAGGUUCAGGCGUACGCAUAAUCGGAAGAAGAUACCCCCGAUCAAAUCAUGGGCGUUACAUUGUCUUGUACCUUGGCGACGAACGCGAAUGAAUUUGUCGAGGAAGACAUUACUCAGCGCCCGAAAAACGAUGAUUUUUGCGACUACCAACCCUAUUUGUAAUUUAUACUUAGCAUUAUUGUACAUAACUGUUUAAUUCAACUAAUAUUUAUAUUAAUGAUAUUAAUAAAUAAAUCUAGUGAGGCGGUUAGCCUUUCUUUCAUCAAAAUAAAAUGCCAUUCCAUAAUCAAGCG